GAUGAACGCUGGCGGCGUGCUUAACACAUGCAAGUCGAACGAAGCACUUUAUUUGAUUUCCUUCGGGAUUGAUUAUUUUGUGACUGAGUGGCGGACGGGUGAGUAACGCGUGGGUAACCUGCCUUGUACAGGGGGAUAACAGUUGGAAACGGCUGCUAAUACCGCAUAAGCGCACAGCAUCGCAUGAUGCAGUGUGAAAAACUCCGGUGGUAUAAGAUGGACCCGCGUUGGAUUAGCUAGUUGGUGAGGUAACGGCCCACCAAGGCGACGAUCCAUAGCCGACCUGAGAGGGUGACCGGCCACAUUGGGACUGAGACACGGCCCAAACUCCUACGGGAGGCAGCAGUGGGGAAUAUUGCACAAUGGGCGAAAGCCUGAUGCAGCGACGCCGCGUGAGCGAAGAAGUAUUUCGGUAUGUAAAGCUCUAUCAGCAGGGAAGAUAAUGACGGU
rnacentral:rRNA from 1 species